rnacentral:miRNA from 1 species
UGGUGAAAAUGUGUUGAUUGUAAUGUUGAUCAAUAAACAUGGUUUCAGCCUAGUUAUAAUGAUCUAAAAUUCACGGUCCAAAACUGCAGUUAUUUUUGCACCAAC